rnacentral:tRNA from 1 species
GCUAGGGUGGCAGAGCCUGGUAAAUGCAAAAGGUCUAAGCCCUUUUAACAGAGGUUCAAAUCCUCUCCCUAGCU